GGGAAGUCCGUGUCGGAGGGCGGGGUAAUAUGGAGGAUGGAAGCGGUAUCCGGUUUCAUUGGGGUUAAAGGGUGCGUAGGCGGAAUACUAAGUCAGUAGUGAAAUCCUGCAGCUUAACUGUAGAACUGUUAUUGAUACUGGUAUUCUUGAAUGCAGUUGAGGUAGGCGGAAUGUGUAAUGUAGCGGUGAAAUGCUUAGAUAUUACACAGAACACCGAUUGCGAAGGCAGCUUACUAAACUGUGAUUGACGCUGAGGCACGAAAGCGUGGGGAGCAAACAGGAUUAGAUACCCUUGUAGUC
rnacentral:rRNA from 1 species